CGAGCUCCGAAAGGCACCGGAGUGGCAGGCGGCCAGCUUGUCCGGGUUGGGGGCGCUGGCCUUGCGCAGGGCCGACAACCAUUGGUUGAGAUCGUUCACAUUCUGUAGGAGGCAGCCAUCAGAGAUGGGAUGGGACCAAAGAAACGGCCUCCACCCUCCUUCCAUCUGUACGGUGCCUCACCUUACACUGGAGGCGAGGAAACUGAGGCACAAGAGGACAAAUGACCCUCCUGAGGUCACUCUGCUGGUGGAGCCAGAACUGGAACCCAGGGAGCUGAACUCUAGAAUCCACUCUGCUGAUAGAGUAGAACAGGCUUAAGGACCCUCUCCAGGGCUGUUUAUGUCUUGUUUGCUGUACCUCCAGUGCCCAGAAUGCCACCACAUGGUGUAUAAUAGGCACUCAGUAAAUGUUUGAUGAAUAAAGGAACAAACCAA